rnacentral:rRNA from 1 species
AUGGGGUGCAGCAGGCGAGAAAACUUUGCAAUGUGCGAAAGCACGACAAGGUUAAUCCGAGUGAUUUCUGCUAAAGGAAUCUUUUGUCAGUCCUAGAAACACUGUUGAAUAAGGGGUGGGCAAGUUCUGGUGUCAGCCGCCGCGGUAAAACCAGCACCUCAAGUGGUCAGGAUGAUUAUUGGGCCUAAAGCAUCCGUAGCCUGCUUUGUCAGUUCUCGGUUAAAUCCAUACGCUCAACGUAUGGGCCGCCGGAAAUACUGCAAAGCUAGGGAGUGGGAGAGGUAGACGGUACUCGGGAGGAAGGGGUAAAAUCCUUUGAUCUCUCGAUGACCACCUGUGGCGAAGGCGGUCUACCAGAACACGUCCGACGGUGAGGGAUGAAAGCUGGGGGAGCAAACCGGAUUAGAUACCCGGGUAGUCCCAGCUGUAAACUAUGCAAACUCAGUGAUGCAUUGGCUUGAUGCCAAUGCAGUGUUGCAGGGAAGCCGUUAAGUUUGCCGCCUGGGAAGUACGUACGCAAGUAUGAAACUUAAAGGAAUUGGCGGGGGAGCAC